CUUUAUUGAAACUUCGGUCGAUUUAAUUUAAUUCUAGUGGCGGACGGGUGAGUAACGCGUGGGUAACCUGCCUUAUACAGGGGGAUAACAGUCAGAAAUGGCUGCUAAUACCGCAUAAGCGCACAGAGCUGCAUGGCUCAGUGUGAAAAACUCCGGUGGUAUAAGAUGGACCCGCGUUGGAUUAGCUAGUUGGUGGGGUAACGGCCCACCAAGGCGACGAUCCAUAGCCGGCCUGAGAGGGUGAACGGCCACAUUGGGACUGAGACACGGCCCAGACUCCUACGGGAGGCAGCAGUGGGGAAUAUUGCACAAUGGGGGAAACCCUGAUGCAGCGACGCCGCGUGAAGGAAGAAGUAUCUCGGUAUGUAAACUUCUAUCAGCAGGGAAGAUAGUGACGGUACCUGACUAAGAAGCCCCGGCUAACUACGUGCCAGCAGCCGCGGUAAUACGUAGGGGGCAAGCGUUAUCCGGAUUUACUGGGUGUAAAGGGAGCGUAGACGGUGUGGCAAGUCUGAUGUGAAAGGCAUGGGCUCAACCUGUGGACUGCAUUGGAAACUGUCAUACUUGAGUGCCGGAGGGGUAAGCGGAAUUCCUAGUGUAGCGGUGAAAUGCGUAGAUAUUAGGAGGAACACCAGUGGCGAAGCGGCUUACUGGACUGUAACUGACGUUGAGGCUCGAAAGCGUGGGGAGCAAACAGG
rnacentral:rRNA from 1 species